CUGAACGAAAGCUUCAAUUCUAUCAAUAAUCGCUUGGGAUGAAAAGG
rnacentral:tRNA from 1 species